rnacentral:rRNA from 1 species
CCUACGGGUGGCAGCAGUGAGGAAUAUUGGUCAAUGGGCUUACGCCUGAACCAGCCAAGUCGCGUGAGUGAAGAAGUAUUUCGGUAUGUAAAGCUCUAUCAGCAGGGAAGAAAGAAAUGACGGUACCUGACUAAGAAGCCCCGGCUAACUACCUGCCAGCAGCCGCGGUAAUACGUAGGGGGCAAGCGUUAUCCGGAAUUAAUGGGUGUAAAGGGAGCGUAGACGGCGAUGCAAGUCUGAAGUGAAAGGCGGGGGCCCAACCCCCGGAAUGCCUUGGAAACUGUAUGGCUGGAGUGCGGGAGAGGUAAGUGGAAUGCGUAGUGUAGCGGUGAAAUGCGUAGAUAUUAGGAGGAACACCAGUGGCGAAGGCGGCUUACUGGCCUGUAACUGACGUUGAGGCUCGAAAGCGUGGGGAGCAAACAGGAUUAGAUACCCGUGUAGUC